rnacentral:lncRNA from 1 species
GGCAUAGAGGAAGGCGGCGUCGUUGAGCAUCGGAUUAAAAAUCAGCAACGAAGUUCAUCUUCAGAGGAGGUUAGUGUAUUGUGUAGUUUUGAAUCUGUGUUUUAAUUUUUAUGGUUUAUCAUGAAUCUGCGAUUUUGGGUUUUGUUGAACCUGCUAUUUCUUUUACUGAAAAACAAUUACAACUUCGUGAUUUCCGUGUGAUUAAUAAGAGCGUAAAAGACCCCGAUUUGAUGGAUUUUUUUUCCAAUUGAAAACGGUUGAAGACCAUAAGGGAUGGAUCGAGAGUGUCAUCGACGAAUGAUAUGGUGUUUCUCCUUUUGCAGCUAUCAAUUGAUGAAUUGUUGUUCAAUUUCAAUUGGAACAAUGAUGGAUGUUAUGUAGCAGUAAGCUUCUUUUUUUGGACUUAGCACAUUUUGUCAAUGACGGGAUGUUAUGUGAUCUUUUCCAUUUGUUGCACUGUUAUCUGAAUGGAUGGUCACUGCAAAAACGGAUUCAUAAAUUCGCCAAUUCAGAACUAUUCGUAUUCUUAAUAUUCGACAAUUCAGAAAACGCAGCCUCUUAAUAUUCGAC